rnacentral:lncRNA from 1 species
CACCAACUUUCAUGAAAAUAAAAGAUGCAUAUACUAUUUUGGAGAGAAAAAUGUCAGAAAUCCAAAUCUGCCCUCAGAAUUUUCCAAUUCUCACUAUAUUGAAAGAUACAUGGAAUUGAAAAUUGAGGAGUAUGAACUGAGUUGCUUCGAUUUGACCUCAAAGCAACUCAAUCUUGUUGAGUAUAUUGGUAGGUCUUCAGACAACCAAA